rnacentral:rRNA from 1 species
ACGAACGCUGGCGGCGUGGAUAAGACAUGCAAGUCGAACGGGAUAUUACCUGUAGCAAUACAAGUGAUGUUCAGUGGCGUAAGGGUGCGUAACACGUGGGCAACCUGCCCUUGAGUUGGGGAUAGCCCGCCGAAAGGCGGAUUAAUACCGAAUGUGGCGAAGGAAGACAUCUUCCUGUAGCUAAAGCCGGGGCAACCUGGCGCUCUUGGAUGGGCCCGCGGCCUAUCAGCUAGUUGGUGAGGUAACGGCUCACCAAGGCUAUGACGGGUAGCUGGUCUGAGAGGACGACCAGCCACACUGGAACUGAGACACGGCCCAGACUCCUACGGGAGGCAGCAGUGGGGAAUUUUGGACAAUGGGCGCAAGCCUGAUCCAGCCAUUCCGCGUGCAGGAUGAAGGCCCUCGGGUUGUAAACUGCUUUUGUACGGAACGAACGGCGCUUUCUAAUACAAGGCGCUUAAUGACGGUACCGUAAGAAUAAGCACCGGCUAACUCUGUGCCAGCAGCCGCGGUAAUACAGAGGUCUUAAGCGUUGUUCGGAUUCAUUGGGCGUAAAGGGUGCGUAGGUGGCGGGGCAAGUCUGGUGUGAAAUCCCGGAGCUCAACUCCGGAACUGCACUGGAUACUGCCUGCUAGAGCACUGGAGAGGGAACUGGAAUUUACGGUGUAGCAGUGAAAUGCGUAGAUAUCGUAAGGAAGACCAGUGGCGAAGGCGAGUUCCUGGACAGUUGCUGACACUGAGGCACGAAGGCUAGGGAGCAAACGGGAUUAGAUACCCCGGUAGUCCUAGCAGUAAACGGUGCGCGUUUGGUGUAGGAGGAUUCGACCCCUUCUGUGCCGGAGCUAACGCGUUAAACGCGCCGCCUGGGGAGUACGGUCGCAAGAUUAAAACUCAAAGAAAUUGACGGGGGCCCGCACAAGCGGUGGAGUAUGUGGCUUAAUUCGAUGCAACGCGAAGAACCUUACCUGGGCUUGACAUGCAUCUCUAAGUCGGUGAAGGCCGGCGAGUUCCGCAAGGAACAAUUGCACAGGUGCUGCAUGGCUGUCGUCAGCUCGUGUCGUGAGAUGUGGGUUAAGUCCCGCAACGAGCGCAACCCCUGUGGCCUGUUGCCACCCACCUUCGGGUAGAGCACUCUGGCCAGACUGCCCUGUGAAACGGGGAGGAAGGUGGGGAUGACGUCAAGUCAGCAUGGCCCUUACGUCCAGGGCUGCACACGUACUACAAUGCCCAGUACAGAACGAGCCGAAACCGCGAGGUGGAGGAAGUCCCUAAAACUGGGCUCAAUUCGGAUCGCAGGCUGCAACUCGCCUGCGUGAAGCUGGAAUCGCUAGUAAUGCCGUAUCAGCUACGACGGCGUGAAUACGUUCCCGGGCCUUGUACACACCGCCCGUCACAUCAUGGGAGUCGUUUGUUCCCGAAGUGCAGUGCGCCAACCGAGCAAUCGGAGGCAGUGCCCUAAGGAAUGAGCGGUAACUGGGAUG